GGAUAGCACAGUUAAGUAGGGCGCCUGCUUUAUAUGCAGGGGGAUAUGGUUCGAAUCCAGCGGUGAACU